rnacentral:rRNA from 1 species
CACGUAGGGUGCGAGCGUUGUCCGGAAUUAUUGGGCGUAAAGCGCGUGUAGGCGGCAUGGCAAGUCGGGUGUGAAAGCCCUCAGCUUAACUGAGGAAGUGCGCCCGAAACUGCCGUGCUUGAGUGCCGGAGAGGGUGGCGGAAUUCCCCAAGUAGAGGUGAAAUUCGUAGAUAUGGGGAGGAACACCGGUGGCGAAGGCGGCCACCUGGACGGUAACUGACGCUGAGACGCGAAAGCGUGGGGAGCAAACAGG